CCAGCUGGAGAUGUGCUGGAGCCAUCAGCUGCGUCCCAUGAGCUCCUGAUUGCCCCAGGUGGGUGGGGAAAGGCUUUAUGGCAGAGCUGGCUGCUAGUUGGAGGCUUUCUCAGUGGGUUGCAGCCAGCAGCUCCAGGUCUAGAGGGGAAGCUGGUGACACAUGGUGCUUUUCAAGGCUCUGAAGAGUCCAACUCCUCGUAGAGCUUCUUGAGAACUUGUGGAAGGAUGUCCCAAGCCAGCCAACAGAUGAACAAACAGCUGACGUGUGGACAAAGAAAAGCAGCUUUGAGAUAAUGAAGCACAAGAUGGACUGCUGCAGUCACUAAGUCAAGCCCUCUGCUACUUGUACAUAUGGAGAUCCAUUUUAAAAUGAAAUCUUGUGAGAUGA